AUCGUACAAAAAUAGCCAAACAAACCUCAAAAAUACCAGGGCAUGAGAUGAAUGGGUUGGAUCAGGCUGUUCAAGGUGAUCUUACUCGUGGCAUGGGAUGCAUCCACAAGCCAUUGUACCCUCAAAAGAUGGUUUUAUCCAUCUGAUAAAGAUGCUAUCCAUCACUGGUCCUUUUCUCUGGUCCCUACGGGAGCGCUUGGGUGUCAAGUCUGGGCCCGGGGGUGUUAGGCUCGAGCCCAACCCGACUCUCGGCAUGCUUUUCAUCUAAAGUGCUAGACCAAGUUUAGUACGGGGCCCUUCGUUCGUUAAAUUAUCAGCCCGUCCUGGCCCAAAAACCUGAGCUAGAGCGUGGUUGGGUCUUGGGACCGUUUGGGUCGGCCCAACCCACCGACAACCCUACUUGAUGACGUCAAAGCGAUGCAUGUUUUCCGAACUUUAUAAUAAAGUUAUUUCUGGCUAUAUAUAACUCAGGAGACUGAUUCAGAUGAUCCGAUCGAUGGAUUUCAUGUGGGAUGUUACAUGAUCAGAUGAAGCGGACGGAUUACUUCCAUUUUAGUGGUAGGCUGAAUCUUCCAAAGGUUUUAAUUUGAACUUAUGUAGUAGAUCCUAGUUGUAUUUGUUGGCAGGAGCGGCCUAAUAUAUUUAAAGGCCUAA
rnacentral:lncRNA from 1 species